GGCCUCCUGGAAGAUCUGGAUCACCUGGCCAUGUGGGACCCAAGGGUCACACAGGCCCUGCUGGACCUAAUGGAAAUGAUGGUCCAGACGGUCCACCCGGGGCUAGAGGAGAACCAGUGAGUGGGCACGCACACACGCGCGCACACACAUACACACACACACACACUUACAAACGUGUUUGUGUUUCAGGGUGACACUGGCAGAUCACUGCCGGGCAUUAAAGGUGAUGAGGUAAGUAGCUAUGCUAGUGUGUGAGUGUGUGUUUUGCUGUGUAAUCAUUUUUACGUAUUUUUUUUAUUUCACCUUUUUUUAUUUAACCAGGUAGGCUAGUUGAGAACACCUUGAUUUAACCAGGUAGGCUAGUUGAGAACACCUUGAUUUAACCAGGUAGGCUAGUUGAGAACACCUUGAUUUAACCAGGUAGGCUAGUUGAGAACACCUUGAUUUAACCAGGUAGGCUAGUUGAGAACACCUUGAUUUAACCAGGUAGGCUAGUUGAGAACACCUUGAUUUAACCAGGUAGGCUAGUUGAGAACACCUUGAUUUAACCAGGUAGGCUAGUUGAGAACACCUUGAUUUAACCAGGUAGGCUAGUUGAGAACACCUUGAUUUAACCGGGUAGGCUAGUUGAGAACACCUUGAUUUAACCGGGUAGGCUAGUUGAGAACACCUUGAUUUAACCAGGUAGGCCAGUUGAGAACAAGUUCUCAUUUACAACUGCGACCUGGCCAAGAUAAAGCAAAGCAGUGUGACACAAACAACAACACAGAGUUACACAUGGAAUAAACAAAUGUACAGUCAAUAACACAAUAGAAACAUCUAUAUACAGUGUGUGCAAAUGAGGUAAAAUUAGGGAGGUAAGGCAAUAAAUAGGCCAUAGUGGUGAAGUAAUUACAAUGUAGCAAUUAAACACUGGAGUGAUAUGUGUAGAAGAUGAAUGUGCAAGUAGAAAUACUGGGGUGCAAAGGAGCAAGAUAAAUAAAUAAAUACAGUAUGGGGAUGAGGUAGUUGGAUGGGUUAUUUACAGAUGGGCUAUGUACAGGUACAGUGAUCUGUGAGCUGCUCUGACAGCUGGAGCCAGUGGGUUUGGUGAGAAUAUGAAGCGAGGGCCAGCCAACGAGAGCAUACAGGUCGCAGUGGUGUAUAUUGGGCUUUGAUGACAAAACGGAUUUCACUGUGAUAGACUGCAUCCAAUUUGCUGAGUAGAGUGUUGGAGGCUAUUUUGUAAAUGACAUCGCCGAAGUCAAGGAUCGGUAGAAUAGUCAGUUUUACGAGGGUAUGUUUGGCAGCAUGAGUGAAGGAUGCUUUGUUGCGAAAUAGGAAGCCGAUUCUAGAUUUAAGAUGCUUAAAUCUAGAAUCGGAGAUGCUUAAUGGAGAUGCUUAAUGUGAGUCUGGAAGGAGAGUUUACAGUCUAACCAGACACCUAGGUAUU
rnacentral:lncRNA from 1 species